GAGUAACACGUGAGCAACCUGCCCCUGACUCUGGGAUAAGCCUUGGAAACGAGGUCUAAUACCGGAUAUGACGCUCCUACGCAUGUGGGGGUGUGGAAAGAAUUUCGGUCGGGGAUGGGCUCGCGGCCUAUCAGCUUGUUGGUGGGGUGAUGGCCUACCAAGGCGACGACGGGUAGCCGGCCUGAGAGGGCGACCGGCCACACUGGGACUGAGACACGGCCCANACUCCUACGGGAGGCAGCAGUGGGGAAUAUUGCACAAUGGGCGCAAGCCUGAUGCAGCGACGCCGCGUGAGGGAUGACGGCCUUCGGGUUGUAAACCUCUUUCAGCAGGGAAGAAGCGGAAGUGACGGUACCUGCAGAAGAAGCGCCGGCUAACUACGUGCCAGCAGCCGCGGUGAUACGUAGGGCGCAAGCGUUGUCCGGAAUUAUUGGGCGUAAAGAGCUCGUAGGCGGUCAGUCGCGUCUGCUGUGAAAACUCGAGGCUCAACCUCGGGCUUGCAGUGGGUACGG
rnacentral:rRNA from 1 species